rnacentral:rRNA from 1 species
UACGAAGGUGCAACAGUUGCUCGGAAUUAUUGGGCGUAAAGCGCACGUAGGCGGCUCCGCAAGUCGGAUGUGAAAUCCCUCGGCUCAACCAAGGAAGUGCAUCCGAAACUGCAGAGCUUGAGUACCAAAGAGGAUCGCGGAAUUCCCGGUGUAGAGGUGAAAUUCGUAGAUAUCGGGAGGAACACCAGUGGCGAAGGCGGCGAUCUGGGUGGAUACUGACGCUGAGGUGCGAAAGCGUGGGGAGCAAACAGG